AUGCGAUAAGUAAUGUGAAUUGCAGAAUUCAGUGAAUCAUCGAAUCUUUGAACGCACAUUGCGCCCCCUGGUAUUCCGGGGGGCAUGCCUGUUCGAGCGUCAUUACAACCCUCAAGCUCUGCUUGGUAUUGGGCCCCGCCGACCCGGCGAGCCCUAAAAUCAGUGGCGGUGCCGUCUGGUUCCGAGCGUAGUAAUUCUUCUCGCUUUGGAGGCCGGGCGUGUGCUUGCCAGCAACCCCCAAUUUUUUUCAGGUUGACCUCGGAUCAGGUAGGGAUACCCGCUGAACUUAA
rnacentral:misc_RNA from 1 species